rnacentral:lncRNA from 1 species
AUAUUCAUUGAUAAUGAUAUUUUUUAAUUUGGUUUUAGUUAGAUCUCAGAUAUAGAAGGUAUAUGUAAUUCAAGUGAAUCAAAUAUAUGAAAUAUAUUAUAAAUGUUAUCUUAAUACCAUAAAUUUGAUUAUGGAUGUCAAUUCGGAAAAACUUACCUAUGAACAUUCUACUCCUAUAAAAAAUAGUGAAGGAAAUAUUACUAAUAGGUCCAUUGACACUAGCUAAUGUUAUGGUACAACUUAAAUAUCGUUUUGAUCGUGAAAUUGAUAGAUUAAAAAAGCCAUGUUUAUGAAGGAUAUUGGAAAAAGAUGAUUGUGCAUCCAAACGAAUGGUUUUAUGUGUAUCAUCUAUUACUCUGAGUCCAGAGAUGACAAAAAUAGAGAAUCUAGUUCAAUAGUAUCAAACAUAAAUUAUUCGAAAAUAAUAUUAACUGAUGGAUAGUAUAUAGCAUUCCUGCUUUUAUUGAUACAACCAUGAUGAGUUACGUAACAUCUGGAAAAAUACGCGAAGGUACAAAAUGAAUGAUAUUUGGAGCAGAGUUGUUGAAUUUUUAUCAAUUUUUCUGUCAUUUAGAAAUAUGUAUGAUAAAAAAAGUAAAUGAAAGUUUUCUUUCUUAUGAAUAA